rnacentral:rRNA from 1 species
UACGUAGGGUGCGAGCGUUGUCCGGAAUUACUGGGCGUAAAGAGCUCGUAGGUGGUUUGUCGCGUUGUUCGUGAAAACCGGGGGCUUAACCCUCGGCGUGCGGGCGAUACGGGCAGACUUGAGUACUGCAGGGGAGACUGGAAUUCCUGGUGUAGCGGUGAAAUGCGUAGAUAUCGAGAGGAACACCUGCGGCGAAGGCGGGUUGCUGGGCUGACACUGACGCUGAGGCGCGAAAGCCAGGGGAGCGAACGGG